rnacentral:rRNA from 1 species
AAGGCCUUCGGUUGUAAGCACUUUCGGCCGGAACGAAAUCGCGCGGAUUAAUAACCCGCGUGGAUGACGGUACCGGAAGAAGAAGCACCGGCUAACUACGUGC